CCUACGGGUGGCUGCAGUGGGGAAUAUUGGACAAUGGGCGAAAGCCUGAUCCAGCCAUGCCGCGUGUGUGAAGAAGGCCUUCGGGUUGUAAAGCACUUUCAGUGGGGAAGAAAGCCUUGGGGCUAAUACCCUCGAGGAAGGACAUCACCCACAGAAGAAGCACCGGCUAACUCCGUGCCAGCAGCCGCGGUAAUACGGAGGGUGCGAGCGUUAAUCGGAAUUACUGGGCGUAAAGCGCGCGUAGGCGGUCUGAUAAGCCGGUUGUGAAAGCCCCGGGCUCAACCUGGGAACGGCAUCCGGAACUGUCAGGCUAGAGUGCAGGAGAGGAAGGUAGAAUUCCCGGUGUAGCGGUGAAAUGCGUAGAGAUCGGGAGGAAUACCAGUGGCGAAGGCGGCCUUCUGGUCUGACACUGACGCUGAGGUGCGAAAGCGUGGGUAGCAAACAGGAUUAGAUACCCUAGUAGUC
rnacentral:rRNA from 1 species